CUCUUCAGGAAGCUUCGGUACUUGAGAGUCCGCGAGACCUUUGGAGCUGGGCUUGAAAAGCCCCAAACCAAGCCCAUUAUAUUUGAAUCCACGAUCUAAUCCGACGGAUCCCCCGCUCCUUAAAACCCUAUACUAGAGUGAAAAGGGGCGCCGAAGGUUUUAUUCUUCUCGUAUCUUCGCGAUUGAUUUCUUUCCAUCGCACUGGACUGCGUCCGCUCUCCUGGUAUUGGCAGUGCUAUCUUUCUUGAUGUUUUCGUGGAAUUCUAUGUGGUGAUUCUUUUUUUCCCCGGUUUUCUUGAUUGUUCGGGUGGAGGAUAUAGCAAUGGCUGCUCAAAACGGCCCAACGAGUAUUGAGAAAAAGCAGAUAAUCGGAAUGGCAGAGCAAGAGAUGGAGUUAUAGGGUAGAGCUUUUUAACAGGAAAAAAAUGUCAGUCUGAUAAAAAGUUUUAAACGCCAAGAUCUUGCCAAAGAUGAUGCACUAACUCAAUGCCCAACAACACUAGUGAAACACAAUCAAGGCCGUGCCAGAAAAAAGCAAGUUCAAUGAGUGUUGGAUACUUGGGUUAGUGAAGCUUCACCUUCGUCUCUUAACCGAUAUGUUCAUUGCCCUCUGAGUUUUCAAACAAUAUGCUGCAAAGAUUGAGAGCAACAAUAUCGAGAAAAGGUGCGCAUACUACUAGUGUAUUUAUCAAUGCAGACAUGUACGUGAAGUAUUUCUUCUCGAACAGGGUAGCAGGUUGAGAGCUGCUCACAACGGCCCACGACAAGGAAGAGACUAACUCUUUUUGGAGCCUGCAUGUUAGCGAGGAUGGUGUGUAGGUGGUCUGGACAAAGUGAGUUCAAGUAAGCGUUUGUAACAUUCCUCCUUUACGAACUGUGCAGCCUGUGCGGCGUGGGAACCACCUACGAUGGCAGUCAAUGCAGCAGAUUGUAGGUAAGUUCUCGGACUCUAUGAAUCCAGAGGAGUUAAUGCUAUGUAUGUCAUCUAACGGUGCGGUGGGUGCCUCAUCAAGGUACUUGCUUCUUCGACAAUCGCGCUAGGCGUGCUUCCCACUUGUUGCUGCUCCGACACACACGUACCAAAGCUAUCACAAGUUGCUCCACACAAGGCUUCUCCUGUGCCCCAUGAAUGUUUUAGAUGUAGGACAUUAAUUGCAUCGUCUUCUCCCCAGCACGGAACUAGAGGGCAUGGAAACAAAUCUGUUACUGGGAGUUACUGCUCAAACUGGCUCGAAGACAAGAAAAAAAUUAUUGUCUACACUGCUUGCAUGCAGCCAAUUACGGCUUCAUCAAAUGCACAUUUUGGUGCAACCAGCAGCGUGAUUGCUGCACGGCCACACUUAGUGGGGCAAUAAUUUCUCUUCAGUAUCUUGCGGUUGUACAUGUUGAUCUGUUGCUCUCAUGCAGGGCAACUCUCUUCCCAAUAAAAAAAAAACUCUUUAGCCCACAAAAA